CCUACGGGUGGCAGCAGUGAGGAAUAUUGGUCAAUGGACGAGAGUCUGAACCAGCCAAGUAGCGUGAAGGAUGACUGCCCUAUGGGUUGUAAACUUCUUUUAUAAAGGAAUAAAACGAGGCACGUGUGCCUUUUUGCAUGUACUUGAUGAAUAAGGAUCGGCUAACUCCGUGCCAGCAGCCGCGGUAAUACGGAGGAUGCGAGCGUUAUCCGGAUUUAUUGGGUUUAAAGGGAGCGUAGGUGGGUUGUUAAGUCAGUUGUGAAAGUCUGCGGCUCAAACGUAAAAUUGCAAUUGAUACUGGCAGUCUUGAGUACAGGUGAGGUAGGCGGAAUGCGUGGUGUAGCGGUGAAAUGCUUAGAUAUCACGAAGAACCCCGAUUGCGAAGGCAGCUUACCAACCUGUGACUGACAUUGAUGCUCGAAAGUGUGGGUAUCAAACAGGAUUAGAUACCCGAGUAGUC
rnacentral:rRNA from 1 species